rnacentral:lncRNA from 1 species
AAUGUGAGUGCCACCAGUAUUGGACUGAUUUGAAGUCGUGCUCAACCACUUUUGUACUUUGCUGUAGGUUUAGUUGCUACACCUACUCUUCAUGGAGCUAGGCUAGCAGUUUCCCCAUGUGGUCUUUGAGCUAAGCUAGGCUAAACAUGCUCCAGACCUACAGUGUCUACUGGACACACAAAGGGGAAACUAAUAUCAGUCUUGCAGCUGUAGCUACUAUAGUCACACACGGUAUCAACUAAUUAAAAUUGCAAUUCAGUUUUGCCAGAUCACAGACGUCCAAAGCAGAUACAUCUCCACUCAGACACACACGCCUUCAGCUGAGAAAACACAAUCUGGUCACAUCAAAAAAAAAGGUCAGAGCAAUAAGACAAACUCAGAAAUGUAGACAAACAGGAAGAGAUGACCUCACCCGCCGACUGCAGCUCUCCUGCCACAUGACUACGCCACAUUCUCCACCGCGCCUCUAAUGAAUGGAAAUGUAUGGAGCAUCUGCGCUGGAGUUGGUGGGCAUAAUCCUCGUGUCAUCGACUGCGCUCACAUCACCAGCCAGUUAGCAUCAGCUGACGGAAAUAGCUCCGGUGUCAUACAUUCUGUCCCGUGAACACGUGUCCUGCUCUGCGAGGUGAUGACUCCAUGAUGCGAAACAUACUUCCCACGUGGACCAGUGAAGUACGGUGCUUAAUAUGUUGGACCUUUCGCCUCAUUCUGGAAAGAUCCAAAUGGCCUGUUCAGCCAAUAGCAAAGAUGAGGGGGAAACGGUGAUGAGCAGAUGGAUGGAGAGAUGGACAAUGAAGGAUGGCUAGAAGAAAGAGUAGCAGAUGGAUGAUCCGUUCUCCAGCAGCACAUAGCACCAGGGCAGCUGAACACACAGCUGAGUAACAAGCUGCUGCUGGCACCACACACACUCCUGUGUCAUAAGAAGAAUAGGGCUGGUUUCUAAUUAAUAAUCAAUAAUACUUCACAUUGUACAUUGUUAUUGAAAUGCUGUUUACAAGUAUGUCCUAUCUCAGCCCCUCCCUGAG